rnacentral:misc_RNA from 1 species
UCCGGCUUACCACCGGCAGUCUCACUAGAGUGCCCGGCAUUACCCGCUGGCAACUAGCGACAAGGGUUGCGCUCGUUGCGGGACUUAACCCAACAUCUCACGACACGAGCUGACGACAGCCAUGCAGCACCUGUCACCGGCCAAUUGAAGAGCUCCGUCUCCGGAGCCCCGACCGGGAAGUCAAGGGCUGGUAAGGUUCUUCGCGUUGCCUCGAAUUAAACCACAUGCUCCGCUGCUUGUGCGGGUCCCCGUCAAUUCCUUUGAGUUUUAGCCUUGCGGCCGUACUCCCCCGGCGGGGCACUUAAUGCGUUAGCUCCGGCACGGGAGGAGUCGACACCUCCCACACCUAGUGCCCAUCGUUUACGGCGUGGACUAC